rnacentral:rRNA from 1 species
GACGAACGCUGGCGGCGUGCUUAACACAUGCAAGUCGAACGAUGAACCGGGUGCUUGCACUUGGGGAUUAGUGGCGAACGGGUGAGUAACACGUGAGUAACCUGCCCUGGACUCUGGGAUAACCCCGAGAAAUCGGAGCUAAUACCGGAUAGGACCUUCUCCCGCAUGGGGGUUGGUGGAAAGUUUUUCGGUUUGGGAUGGACUCGCGGCCUAUCAGCUUGUUGGUGAGGUAAUGGCUCACCAAGGCGUCGACGGGUAGCCGGCCUGAGAGGGUGACCGGCCACACUGGGACUGAGACACGGCCCAGACUCCUACGGGAGGCAGCAGUGGGGAAUAUUGCACAAUGGGCGCAAGCCUGAUGCAGCAACGCCGCGUGCGGGAUGACGGCCUUCGGGUUGUAAACCGCUUUUAGUAAGGAAGAAGGGGCUUCGGCCUUGACGGUACUUGCAGAAAAAGGACCGGCUAACUACGUGCCAGCCGCCGCCGUAAAAC